rnacentral:lncRNA from 1 species
UCUGACCUGCCAGGGAGUGCUGCAUCCUCACAGGAGUCAUGGUGCCUGUGGGUCGGAGCCGGAGCGUCAGAGCCACCCACGACCACCGGCACGCCCCCACCACAGGGCAGCGUGGUGUUGAGACAACACAGCCCUCAUCCCAACUAUGCACAUAGCUUCAGCCUGCACAGAUAGGGGAGUAGGGGACAGAGCAUUUGCUGAGAGGCCAGGAGCGCAUAGAUGGGACUCUGCUGAUGCCUGCUGAGUGAAUGAGGGAAAGGGCAGGGCCCGGGACUGGGGAAUCUGUAGGGUCAAUGGAGGAGUUCAGAGAAGGUGCAACAUUUCUGACCCCCUACAAGGUGCUUGCUACCUGCCAGGCACCCUUUCCAUACCUUGUCUCAGUUCAGCUCCCCACCUUGGAUAAACAAGAAACCUUGGUUGCAGAGGAAAAAAGAGGCUGGAAACAAAGGGGUAGAAAUGGGGUAGCAGGGGAGAUUGCCUGAUCAACUGCCAAAUGGUACACAGUUCUGGAAAAGCACAAAAAAUGUGCACACACGGGUUCUUCCCACUUUAACCCCUGAGGAAUCUGAGGCCUGCUCCUGAAACAGACUGGGCAGUGGCUAGUGACUCUAGGUAUAGGAGUAUCCAGCCCUGCUCACCCAGGCUAGAGCUUAGGGGGACAAGAGGAAAGAGGUGCCUGUGGGGGUGGAGGACAGGAAGGAAAAACACUCCUGGAAUUGCAAAGUGAGGGCAGAGUCUAUUUAUAUUGGGUUUAAUUAACUCCUCUCCCUGGUGCCACUAAAGCAGCAAUCACACUGCAGACAGCACUGAUUUGAUUGGCAAGAGAUGCACCAGGCAGAAUAUUAAGGGACCAGGCCCCUAUAAAUAGGCCUAAUCACAGCCCCUCACUGGAAAAUGGUAAGGAAGACAUUAAUCAGGCCUGGCACUGUGCCCUAGACCUGCUCCCCUAGGCACUACAGUGGGGCCCUUGGUUGCAACACAAGUAGGUAGGGAUGGAUGAGUGUGGCAUGAAGGGCCUAGGAGAUUUCACUUGGGUUUAAAAUGCUGUGACCUUGAGUAAGUUGCCGUCUCUGAAUCUGAUCCUUUCGAUUUCCCAUUCUCCAAACUGAGAACUAGCACUGCUGAGACGUGGUUAUUUCCAAUAAUAAUUUGUAUAUUUUACAUAACGCACCACACCAACAUCUUCACCCAGUUGGAGCCUACUCCUUUGCUCCCGCUGCUGGCUUCCCCAGCCCUCCCUUCUGCCCUCCUCAGGCCAGCACUUUUCAGUGAGUUCCUCCUUUGCAUACAGGCUUUCCAGAUCUGUACUUGCCUUGAAUACUCAUCAGAGCCCAGGAGUUACUCCUCACCUCCCACUUAUUUUUCCUCCCAUCAAAUAACUAAAGCAUGGCCAGCUGAUGCCCAGCCAACUGAGAAACCCAACCCUCUGAGACCAGCACACCCCUUUCAAGCAUGUUCCUCCCUCCCCUUCUUUGUAUUUAUACUGAUGCAAGUUUGCUGGCUGUCCUAACUUAUUUCUGUGCCUCAGUUCUCCCAUAUGUAAGAUCACAAAGGGGGUAAAGAUGCAAGAUAUUUCCUGUGCACAUCUUCAGAUGAAUUUCUUGUUAGUGUGUGUGUGUUUGCUCACACAUAUGCGUGAAAGAAGAGUACAUACACAGAUCUCCUCAAAAAGGAGGCAGCAAGCCCGUUCAAGAAUGGGACUGAAUACACCUGAUGAGUGGUUUACUUUCUGUCUGCAAACAUCUACUGAUCAUCUGUUAGGUGCAGGCCAUGAUCACAACAAAGACGAAUAAGACACUACACUAGCCAGGGAGAGUCUCAAAAACAACUAAACUCAAAUUAAAUUCAUUCUACUCCAGUCAUGGGUACAAAGCUAAGGAGUGACAAAUCCCUCUUGGAGUUAGGGGAGUCAGGAAAAAGCUCUUAGCAGAAUGUGUGCCUCUCGGCCGGGCGCAGCGGCUCACGCCUGUAAUCCCAGCACUUUGGGAGGCGAAGGCAGGCAGAUCACCUGAGGUCGGGAGUUCGAGACCAGUCUGACCAACAUGGUGAAACUCCAUCUCUACUAAAAAUACAAAAUUAGCCAGGCGUGGUGGUGCAUGCCUGUAAUCCCCGCUACUCGGGAGGCUGAGGAAGGAGAAUCACUUGAACCGGGAAGGUGGAGGUUGCAGUGUGCCAAGAUCGCGCCAUGGCACUCCAGCCUAGGCAACGAGGGUGAACCAGGUCCAGGAAGAAGGUGCAAAGACAGCAUUCCAGGUAAAAGAAACAGCUUGAACAAAAAGUGUGUAGGGGAACCGCAAGCGGUCUUGAGUGCUGAGGGUACAAUCAUCCUUGGGGAAGUACUAGAAGAAAGAAUGAUAAACAGAGGCCAGUUUGUUAAAAACACUCAAAAUUAAAGCUAGGAGUUUGGACUUGUGGCAGGAAUGAAAUCCUUAGACCUGUGCUGUCCAAUAUGGUAGCCACCAGGCACAUGCAGCCACUGAGCACUUGAAAUGUGGAUAGUCUGAAUUGAGAUGUGCCAUAAGUGUAAAAUAUGCACCAAAUUUCAAAGGCUAGAAAAAAAGAAUGUAAAAUAUCUUAUUAUUUUAUAUUGAUUACGUGCUAAAAUAACCAUAUUUGGGAUAUACUGGAUUUUAAAAAUAUAUCACUAAUUUCAUCUGUUUCUUUUUACUUUUAGAAAUCACAUAUGUGACUUAAAUAUUUCUUUUCUUUUUCUUUCCUCUCACUCAGCGUCCUGUGAUUCCAAAGAAAUGAGUCUCUGCUGUUUUUGGGCAGCAGAUAUCCUAGAAUGGAC